rnacentral:rRNA from 1 species
UACGAAGGGUGCAAGCGUUACUCGGAAUUACUGGGCGUAAAGCGUGCGUAGGCGGUUUGUUAAGUCCGCUGUGAAAGCCCUGGGCUCAACCUGGGAAUUGCAGUGGAUACUGGCAAGCUAGAGUGCGGUAGAGGAUGGUGGAAUUCCCGGUGUAGAGGUGAAAUUCGUAGAUAUUGGGAAGAACACCGGUGGCGAAGGCGGCCAUCUGGACCGCAACUGACGCUGAGGCGCGAAAGCGUGGGGAGCAAACAGG